GGAAAUAACUUAUCUCACUAAGCUGGACUUCUGCACUCCAAAAAUGUAGGAGAUAUUCAGCAAAAAUGUGGAAUAGCUGGGACCAAAAUACGACCACUUCUGGAUUCACUCAGCCAGCGACAUGUUGAAACGAGACGGGAGGCCAUUAUUCGCGCCCUGAUGGAAUUCCUGGGGGAGUCUUCAGGGGAACUCAUCAAGGACUACAAGGAUAUCAGGAGAGAGGAAGCUCAAGAGUACCCGGCUGAGCAAGUCCUGAGGAUCUGUGUCUUCCACACAAGUGCAGAAGGUGAUGGUGCAUCCGAAACUGAUGUGUCCAUUGUUAUUGAAGGGACUGAGGUACUUGACAACUGUGGAAGUGUUGCAAAGGCCUGUCUCCUGCUCAUGGGCAUCAUAUAUGCCAUGAACUUGAGUUACCCCCCAAAAACAAAGUAAACUUUUGAAGUUUUUCAAAAGCUUCUUCUAGAGCUUGAUGUCCUUAAGCUGUCCCUGAAAAUCCUGUCUUUGCGAAACAAGCUUAUAGCUUGAGUGCACAUGUUUGACCCAUGAGUUGUC
ensembl:lncRNA